GACGAACCGUGCGAACGUUAUUCGGAAUCACUGGGCUUAAAGCGCGUGUAGGCGGGAGGGCACGUCCGUCGCUGAAAUCCCCCGGCUCAACCGGGGAACGGGCGCGGAUACGACCUUCCUGGAGGGGCGUAGGGGGACCUGGAACUUCCGGUGGAGCGAUGAAAUGCGUUGAGAUCGGAAGGAACGCCCGUGGCGAAAGCGAGGUCCUGGACGCCUACUGACGCUGAGACGCGAAAGCCAGGGGAGCGAACGGG
rnacentral:rRNA from 1 species